rnacentral:piRNA from 1 species
UGAUCUUGCAUCAUGGUGCGCCUGCACAGC